AAAAUAAGCGCUUGGGUCACAAACUGCAAGUUAAAUAAGCAACUAAUAAAUCAAAUAGAUAGAUAGAUAGAUAGAUAGAUAGAUAGAUAGAUAGAUAGAUAGAUAGAUAGAUAAAAACAAAUAAACAAAUAAAGACUCGUGCAUUGUUUAAAGUGAGUGUCACUGACUUGGUAAAACUGCAUGGCUUCAUAAAAUCGCCAUCAGUGACAGAGAAAUAGCGGUGCAAUCAGUGCAAUUGAGCCGGAGCGCAAAGCGAUCCACUUUGCGCUCAAGACUAAACGUUUACGCGCAUAAAACAUCCAGCAACAACCAGAUAAUAACCUUUGGAGUCGUACGGAACACAUGCCAAGGUGAUCUUCUGAUCAAUACAGAUCUGGUAUCAGCAAGCAGGAGGAAGAAGAGCUGCCUCAUUAACCCUGCCGCUUCCAGAGGUGCUUGAUGAGAGGAAAAGUUCUCUGUAAAUCUGAAUCAAUGAGCUCCAGUCAGUGAACGUUGGGAGGAAUUCCAAAGCUUCUGCAGAAGGAGG